GGGCCCUUAGCUCAGUGGUAGAGCAGAGGACUCAUAAUCCUUUGGCCGCAGGUUCGAAUCCUGCAGGGCCCACCA
rnacentral:tRNA from 1 species